rnacentral:rRNA from 1 species
CUAACACAUGCAAGUCGAACGGUAACAGGUCUUCGGAUGCUGACGAGUGGCGCACGGGUGAGUAACGCGUGGAUAUCUGCCUAUUAGUGGGGGACAACUUGUGGAAACGCAAGCUAAUACCGCAUAAUCCCUACGGGGGAAAGCAGGGGACCUUCGGGCCUUGUGCUGAUAGAUGAGUCCGCGUCUGAUUAGCUAGUUGGUAGGGUAAAGGCCUACCAAGGCGAUGAUCAGUAUCUGGUUUGAGAGGAUGAUCAGACACACUGGAACUGAGACACGGUCCAGACUUCUACGGAAGGCAGCAGUGGGGAAUAUUGCACAAUGGGCGCAAGCCUGAUGCAGCGACGCCGCGUGUGGGAAGAAGGCUUUAGGGUUGUAAACCACUUUCAAUUGGGAAGAAGAGAUGAGAGUUAAUAACUUUCUGAUUUGACGGUACCUUUAGAAGAAGCACCGGCUAAUUUCGUGCCAGCAGCCGCGGUAAUACGAAAGGUGCAAGCGUUGUUCGGAUUUACUGGGCGUAAAGAGAGUGUAGGUUGUUUAUUAAGUCGGAUGUGAAAUCCCGGGGCUCAACCUCGGAACUGCAUUCGAUACUGGUAGACUAGAGUUCGGGAGGGGUAAGCGGAAUUCCGUGUGUAGCAGUGAAAUGCGUAGAUAUACGGAGGAACACCUGAGGCGAAGGCGGCUUACUGGACCGAUACUGACACUGAGACUCGAAAGCGUGGGUAGCAAACAGGAUUAGAUACCCUGGUAGUCCACGCCCUAAACGAUGUCAACUAGCCGUUGCGGGUAUCGACCCCUGCAGUGGCGAAGCUAACGCGAUAAGUUGACCGCCUGGGGAGUAC